rnacentral:rRNA from 1 species
UACGUAGGGAGCAGGCGUUGUCCGGAAUCAUUGGGCGUAAAGCGCGCGUAGGUGGCUUCGUAAGUCCGUUGUGAAAGUCAAAGGCUCAACCUUUGAAAGCCGAUGGAUACUGUGAAGCUAGAGUACGGAAGAGGCGAGUGGAAUUCCUGGUGUAGCGGUGGAAUGCGCAGAUAUCAGGAGGAACACCAAUAGCGAAGGCAGCUCGCUGGGACGUUACUGACACUGAGGCGCGAAAGCGUGGGGAGCGAACAGG